GACGAACGCGGCGGCGUGCCUAAUACAUGCAAGUAGGACGCACAGUUUAUACCGUAGCAUGCUACACCAUAGACUCAGAGUUGCGAACGGGUGAGUAACGCGUAGGUAACCUACCUAUUAGAGGGGGAUAACUAUUGGAAACGAUAGCUAAUACCGCAUAACAGUAUGUAACACAUGUUAGAUGCUUGAAAGAUGCAAUUGCAUCGCUAGUAGAUGGACGUGCGUUGUAUUAGCUAGUAGGUAGGGUAAAGGCCUACCUAGGCAACGAUACAUAGCCGACCUGAGAGGGUGAUCGGCCACACUGGGACUGAGACACGGCCCAGACUCCUACGGGAGGCAGCAGUAGGGAAUCUUCGGCAAUGGGGGGAACCCUGACCGAGCAACGCCGCGUGAGUGAAGAAGGUUUUCGGAUCGUAAAGCUCUGUUGUUAAGGAAGAACGAGUGUGAGAAUGGAAAGUUCAUGCUGUGACGGUACUUAACCAGAAAGGGACGGCUAACUACGUGCCAGCAGCCGCGGUAAUACGUAGGUCCCGAGCGUUGUCCGGAUUUAUUGGGCGUAAAGCGAGCGCAGGCGGUUAGAAAAGUCUGAAGUGAAAGGCAGUGGCUCAACCAUUGUAGGCUUUGGAAACUGUUUAACUUGAGUGCAGAAGGGGAGAGUGGAAUUCCAUGUGUAGCGGUGAAAUGCGUAGAUAUAUGGAGGAACACCGGUGGCGAAAGCGGCUCUCUGGUCUGUAACUGACGCUGAGGCUCGAAAGCGUGGGGAGCGAACAGG
rnacentral:rRNA from 1 species